CGCUCUGUUCUGCUCUUUCACUGAAAAUAGCUCUUCCUGACACAGCCUUGGGUAGUGAAGGCAGCUUGGUCACAUCUGUCCCAUGGUGUAACUAAUCUUUAGGAUCUGCAGAGACCUGCCUUCCUCUGCAAUUGUAACUGUACCUCCAAUCGUGAGUUUCUUCUGGCAGCUUAACUGGGCUACCAGUGAGGUCCUCAUAAUGGCUUUUGCUCCUUGCCUCACGGAGACCCGACUCUGGAAUCCUUAGCCAGUG
rnacentral:lncRNA from 1 species